GUGUCAGCAGCCGCGGUAAUACGGAGGGUGCGAGCGUUAUCCGGAAUUACUGGGUUUAAAGGGUGCGUAGGCGGCUUUGUAAGUCAGGAGUGAAAGUUUGCGGCUCAACCGUAAAAUUGCUUCUGAUACUGCAUGGCUAGAAUUAGGAUGAGGUCAGCGGAAUGUGGCAUGUAGCGGUGAAAUGCAUAGAUAUGCCAUAGAACACCAAUUGCGAAGGCAGCUGACUAGACCUGGAUUGACGCUGAGGCACGAAAGCGUGGGGAGCGAACAGGAUUAGAUACCCUAGUAGUCC
rnacentral:rRNA from 1 species